AUGACGGAUGCUGCUGUGUCCUUCUCCAAGGACUUCUUGGUGGGUGGAGUGGCCGCGGCCAUCUCCAAGAUGGCGGUAGCGCCCAUCGAGCGGGUCAAGCUGCUGCUGCAGGUGCAGCAUGCCAGCAAGCAAAUCACCACAGAUAAGCAAUACAAGGGCAUUAUAGACUGUGUGGUUCGCAUCCCCAAGGAGCAGGGAGUCCUGUCCUUCUGGCGUGGUAACCCGGACAAUGUCAUCAGAUACUUCCCCACCCAGGCUCUCAACUUCGCCUUCAAAGAUAAAUACAAGCAGAUCUUCCUGGGUGGUGUGGACAAGAGAACCCAGUUUUGGCGCUACUUUGCUGGGAAUCUGGCAUCAGGUGGUGCUGCUGGGGCCACGUCCUUGUGUUUUGUGUAUCCUCUUUAUUUUGCCCAUACCUGGCUAGCAGCCAAUGUGGGCAAAGCUGGAGCUGAAAGGGAAUUCAGAGUCCUCGGUGACUGCCUGGUUAAGAUCUACAAAUCUGAUGGGAUUAAGGGCUUGUACCAAGGCUUUAAUGUGUCUGUGCAGGGCAUCAUCAUCUACUGAGCUGCCUACUUUGGUAUCUAUGACACCACAAAGGGGAUGCUUCCAGAUCCCAAGAAUACUCACAUCUUCAUCAGCUGGAUGAUCACCCAAUCCGUCACAGGGGUUGCCGGGUUGACGUCCUACCCGUUUGACACUGUUCGCUCCUGAAUGAUGAUGCGGUCAGGGCGCAAAGGAACUGAUAUCACGUGCACAGGCACAGUAGACUGCUGGAAGAAGGUCGCUCGUGAUGAAGGAGCCAAAGCGUUUUUCAAGGGGGCGUGAUCCAAUGUUCUCAGAGGCAUGGGUGGUGCUUUUGUGCUGGUCUUGUAUGAUGAAAUCAAGAAGUUCACAUAAGUUAUUUCCUAGUCUUUCCCCCCUGCCCCCGUGAACAGGCAUGUUGUAUUAUAUAACAUAUCUUGAGCAUUCUUGACAGACUGUUGGCUGUCUAUUUAUCAAUGGUAACUAUUCCACUGGUUGAAAACGGGAAGCAAUAAUAUUCAUAUGACCAGUUUUCUCUUAAAGCCAUUUCCAUGAUGAUGGGACUCAAUUAUAUUUUUUUAUUUCAGUCACUCCUGCUAAAUUUGAAGAAAUAAAAAAUAUCUGAA